UACGUAGGGUGCGAGCGUUAAUCGGAAUUACUGGGCGUAAAGCGUGCGCAGGCGGUUUUGUAAGCCAGAUGUGGAAUCCCCGGGCUUAACCUGGGAAUGGCAUUUGGGACUGCAAGGCUGGAGUUUGGCAGAGGAGACUGGAAUUCCCGGUGUAGCAGUGAAAUGCGUAGAUAUCGGGAGGAAUACCGAUGGCGAAGGCAGGUCUCUGGGCUAUAACUGACGCUCAUGCACGAAAGCGUGGGGAGCAAACAGG
rnacentral:rRNA from 1 species